CAAUUCCCAAGUAGCUGAAGUUCCAAACUCUCUUCAUCAGAGGGGAAAAAAACUGACUUAUCCAGAAAAAAAGCUGUAGAGCAAGAAAGAUGACAGUGCCUCCAUGGAAAAGAAUUUCUGCUUCAUUGAACCACCAUGUCCCUUAUGUUUUGCAAGUCCCUAAUGAAGUUCUCUGCUGUGCCUGAAAUUCCACUUAUCCUGGGGUUUCAGAGUUAAUAAUCCAUUGGGAUGAGUGAAUCAGUUCCGACCUCUCAGAGCUAUUUGCCGAUCCAAGAAGACCGCAUUGCAAAGGUUUACAAAUAGUUCACAUUUUCAAAGUGAUCUUCACAACUAGAAACUUUUUUUUUAAAGGAAAGCUGAGAUUCUGGAGCACAGUUAUGCAGAAAGGGGUGGAUUUCAUGGUUGUUGACUCAUAGAAAGGAUAGGACCCUGGCUAUGAGACCCAUAUUUAUUCCUAAUUUUUUCUAAUUUGUUGUUGCUGUUUUUUUUAAUGUGCAAUGUUUGUUUCUUCAUUAUAAUCGGAUUGGUUCUCUAUAUUAUUUUGUUGUUUGAGUUAUGUCACUAAGCCUGAGUAUUGGAGGAGGAUGGUCAUGCAGUUGAAACAUAAGCUUCUGUCAGGAGCCCUAGCUCUACAUUCCCAACUUCUUCACAGACUUGUACAUCGCUCCAGGCUUCAG